GAUAAACGCUGGCGGCGUGCCUAAUGCAUGCAAGUCGAACGGGUCGCAGCUUCGGCUGUGGUCAGUGGCGGACGGGUGAGGAACACGUACGCAACCUGCCCCCUGGUGGGGAAGUAAACCCUUCCGAAGAAGGGCGUAAUGCCGCCAUCCGCCUCACCUGGGUAAGGGCUGGGUGGAGGAAAGACCCGUCGAGGGCGGCUGGA
rnacentral:rRNA from 1 species